rnacentral:rRNA from 1 species
UACGGGGGGAGCAAGCGUUGUUCGGAUUUACUGGGCGUAAAGGGCGCGUAGGCGGUCAGCACAAGUCAGUUGUGAAAUCUCCGGGCUUAACUCGGAAAGGUCAACUGAUACUGUGCGACUAGAGUGCGGAAGGGGCAACUGGAAUUCUCGGUGUAGCGGUGAAAUGCGUAGAUAUCAAGAGGAACACCGAUUGCGAAGGCAGCUCGCUGGGACGUCACUGACGCUGAGACGCGAAAGCGUGGGGAGCAAACAGG